GUCUUGCGGCGCGCUUAAAUGCAAGUCGAACGAGAAAGGGGAGCAAUCCCUGAGUACAGUGGCGUACGGGUGAGUAACACGUGGAUGAUCUACCUCUUAGUGGGGGAUAUCUCUGGGAAACCGGAGUUAAUACCGCAUAAGCUCGAGAGAGGAAACGCGAAAGCGGCUGAGAGAGGAGUCCGCGGCCGAUUAGCUAGUUGGUAGGGUAAAAGCCUACCAAGGCAUAGAUCGGUAGCCGGCCUGAGAGGGCACACGGCCACACUGGCACUGAAACACGGGCCAGACUCCUACGGGAGGCAGCAGUGGGGAAUCUUGCACAAUGGGGGAAACCCUGAUGCAGCGACGCCGCGUGAGCGAUGAAGCCCUUCGGGGUGUAAAGCUCUUUCGACGGGAACGAUAAUGACGGUACCCGGAGAAGAAGCUGCGGCUAACUACGUGCCAGCAGCCGCGGUAAUACGUAGGCAGCAAGCGUUGUUCGGAGUUACUGGGCGUAAAGAGUGCGUAGGCGGUCCUAUAAGUUUGUUGUGAAAUCUCCCGGCUUAACUGGGAGGGUGCGGCGAAGACUGUGGGGCUUGAGUGUGGGAGAGGUAAGCGGAAUUCCUGGUGUAGCGGUGAAAUGCGUAGAUAUCAGGAGGAACACCGGCGGUGUAGACGGCUUACUGGACCAUGACUGACGCUGAGGCACGAAAGCGUGGGGAGCAAACAGGAUUAGAUACCCUGGUAGUCCACGCCCUAAACGAUGCACACUUGGUGUGAGCGAUUCAUUUCGUUCGUGCCGGAGCUAA
rnacentral:rRNA from 1 species